rnacentral:rRNA from 1 species
UACGUAGGGAGCAAGCGUUGUCCGGAAUCAUUGGGCGUAAAGCGCGUGUAGGCGGCUUGGCAAGUCGGAUGUGAAAGCCCACGGCUCAACCGUGGAAGCGCAUCCGAAACUGCUUCGCUCGAGUCUCGGAGAGGAAGGUGGAAUGCUUGGUGUAGAGGUGAAAUUCGUAGAUAUCAGGAGGAACACCGGUGGCGAAGGCGGGUCUCUGGGCCGAUACUGACGCUGAGGAGCGAAAGCGUGGGGAGCGAACAGG